rnacentral:rRNA from 1 species
UGGGGAAUAUUGGACAAUGGGCGCAAGCCUGAUCCAGCCAUGCCGCGUGAGUGACGAAGGUCUUCGGAUUGUAAAGCUCUUUUUAGCAGGGAAGAUAAUGACGGUACCUGCAGAAUAAGCCCCGGCUAACUUCGUGCCAGCAGCCGCGGUAAUACGAAGGGGGCUAGCGUUGUUCGGAAUUACUGGGCGUAAAGCGCGCGUAGGCGGCUUUGCAAGCCAGAGGUGAAAUGCCUGAGCUCAACUUAGGAAUUGCCUUUGGGACUGCGAGGCUUCGAGGACUGGAGAGGUGAGUGGAAUUCCCAGUGUAGAGGUGAAAUUCGUAGAUAUUGGGAAGAACACCAGUGGCGAAGGCGGCUCACUGGCCAGUUUCUGACGCUAAAGUGCGAAAGCGUGGGGAUCAAACAGGAUUAGAUACCCACGUAGUCCCUGAGCGGGCUGGCAAGGCGCAU